CAUUCGGUGGCGGAGCUGCCCCCGCCAGCGUCACGUGACCGCCCUGUGCUGCUCCGGUCCCGCCCGCCUCUGCCGCAGGAGAAAGGCGGCGAGCAGCAGGGUGACUGCGCUGGCCUUGGAGAGGCCAUUGGCUUGCGAGAUGACUGACAGCAGCAUGAACAACGAGUCCAAAAAGAUGUGGGGCUCACGUCCGUUUUGGGGCGUUG